AAAAGCCUCACUUCAGCGAUUGGACAUUUCCCCCUGGAAGAAAAUUGUAAACCGUAGCAGAGCGUGACGACAUCCCGAUUCGAACCUCCCCUUAGAAGCUCCAGCCGAACCUCCCGGAUUCGUGCCAUAGCCUAGUGCUGCAGAUUUGGGUAUGGUCCCACUCUCUCCUUGAACUUCCGAGAGCUCUUUGUAAUGUUGAUGGUCUGACUUCAGCACAAGUUCGCAUGGCUAUUCAAAAAUUCGGUAACCAUCCGAAUUAUAUUCUACUUUUCUUUGGUACCGAGCCAGAAUAUCGCUUGGAAAUGGUGCAGGAUUUCCUUACGAAUCAAGCACAGCCUUCUACGUCUAUGUAGACGACGAGCUCGUCGGGAGUGGCGAGUAUCGGCCCAAGAAGGAGAUUGCGAUCAAGUUUCCCUAAAAUUGUUGAGUUCGGUGGUCUUUUUUUUGGCUCAUUGAAUUGUUAAAAGUGAAAUCUUUGUUGCAGACAUGUUAAAGUAGAAGACUUUUGUGGGUGGUUUGCUCCUUAUGUUGAAUCUCGUACUUAAAUUUCAAUAUACAAGACUUAGAUUGUUGUGCUUUUGGUACGAAUGUGAUUUCUAACUUUUAAUCAAUGUGUAGUUUAUGAA